UCCUGGCUCAGAUUAAACGCUGGCGGCAUGCCUUACACAUGCAAGUCGAACGGCAGCACGGGGGCAACCUUGGUGGCGAGUGGCGAACGGGUGAGUAAAGCAUCGGAACGUGCCCUGGAGUGGGGGAUAACGUAGCGAAAGUUACGCUAAUACCGCAUAUUCUGUGAGCAGGAAAGCAGGGGAUCGCAGGACCUUGCGCUCUGGGGAGCGGCCGAUGUCGGAUUAGCUAGUUGGUGGGUAAAGGCCUACCAAGGCGACGAUCCGUAGCGGGUCUGAGAGGAUGAUCCGCCACACUGGGACUGAGACACGGCCCAGACUCCUACGGGAGGCAGCAGUGGGGAAUUUUGGACAAUGGGCGAAAGCCUGAUCCAGCCAUGCCGCGUGAGUGAAGAAGGCCUUCGGGUUGUAAAGCUCUUUCGGUGGGGAAGAAAUUGCAUAGGCUAAUACCCUGUGUAGAUGACGGUACCUGGAGAAGAAGCACCGGCUAACUACGUG
rnacentral:rRNA from 1 species